GCUUCUGUGGCGCAAUCGGUUAGCGCGUUCGGCUCCUAACCAAAACGUCGGUGGUUCAAGCCUACAUGGGAGCG
rnacentral:tRNA from 1 species